rnacentral:tRNA from 1 species
CGUCCCAUGGUAUAGCGGUUAGAACUCAGGACUCUGAAUCCUGCGACGGGAUUUCAAAUCUCCCUGGGACCU